rnacentral:rRNA from 1 species
CGCGUAUGCAACUUGCCCUUAUCAGGAGGAUAGCCCGGGGAAACUCGGAUUAAUACUCCAUAAGAUUUUGAUUGGCAUCGAUUAAAAUUGAAAGAUUUAUUGGAUAAGGAUAGGCAUGCGUCAGAUUAGUUAGUUGGUAGUGUAACGGACUACCAAGGCGAUGAUCUGUAGGGGGCCUGAGAGGGUGAACCCCCACACUGGUACUGAGACACGGACCAGACUCCUACGGGAGGCAGCAGUGAGGAAUAUUGGACAAUGGAGGGAACUCUGAUCCAGCCAUCCCGCGUGCAGGAAGACGGCCCUAUGGGUUGUAAACUGCUUUUGUAUGGGGAUAAAUCUACCUACGUGUAGGUAGUUGAAGGUACCAUACGAAUAAGCAUCGGCUAACUCCGUGCCAGCAGCCGCGGUAAUACGGAGGAUGCAAGCGUUAUCCGGAUUCAUUGGGUUUAAAGGGUCCGUAGGCGGGCUGAUAAGUCAGUGGUGAAAUUUUGUCGCUCAACGAUAAAACUGCCAUUGAUACUGUUAGUCUUGAGUGAUAUUGAAGUAGCUGGAAUGUGUAGUGUAGCGGUGAAAUGCAUAGAUAUUACACAGAACACCGAUUUCGAAGGCAGGUUACUAAGUAUUAACUGACGAUGAAGGACGAAAGCGUGGGGAGCGAACAGGAUUAGAUACCCUGGUAGUCCACGCAGUAAACGA